rnacentral:rRNA from 1 species
UACGGGGGGAGCAAGCGUUGUUCGGAUUUACUGGGCGUAAAGGGCGCGUAGGCGGUCAGCACAAGUCAGUUGUGAAAUCUCCGGGCUUAACUCGGAAAGGUCAACUGAUACUGUGCGACUAGAGUGCAGAAGGGGCAACUGGAAUUCUUGGUGUAGCGGUGAAAUGCGUAGAUAUCAAGAGGAACACCUGCGGCGAAGGCGGUUCUCUGGGACGGUACUGACGCUGAGACGCGAAAGCGUGGGGAGCGAACAGG